AUUGAACGCUGGCGGCAGGCCUAACACAUGCAAGUCGAGCGAGCGGCGGACGGGUGAGUAAUGUAUGGGGACUGCCCGAUAGAGGGGGAUAACUACUGGAAACGGUGGCUAAUACCGCAUACUAUCGGAUAACCCAUAUGGGAUUAGCUAGUAGGUGGGGUAAAGUCUCACCUAGGCGACGAUCUCUAGCUGGGCUGAGAGGAUGAUCAGCGACACGGGGACUGAGACACGGACCAGACUCCUACGGAGGCAGCAGGGGGGAAUAUUGCACAAUGGGCGAAAGCCUGAGGCAGACAUGCCGCGUGUAUGAAGAAGGCCGUAGGGGUGUAAAGUACUUGCAGCGGGGAGGCGUUACCCGCAGAAGAAGCACCGGCUAACUCCGUGCCAGCCGCCGCGGUAAUUC
rnacentral:rRNA from 1 species